UCAUGAUAAGGCUCAUAUCUCAAGAGCCACUUGUCACCAUGGGAAGAAAGCAAUAAUUAGGGUGUAAAUCUCAAGUGCCAAGUGUCACCAUCUUAGAAAGCCAAGUGUCACAAUCCUAUGGAUUUAAGGGCACUAUAUAAGAAUGCCUUGGGUUGGGUUUUUGGCCACCAAAUUAAGGGGGUAAGUUGCUUAUAAAGGAGGGGAAACUCUGCUGUAAAGAAGGGAAGGAAACCCUGCCCGAGUAGGAGCCGAAAGCAAGCCGUUGGAAGGCACGAGCCCCUUGAAAUCCGUGCAAAACAGUAACCAAAACUGCAAGGUUUGGAUACAAAAAGGUCUCGGUUUUUAUAGAACAGUCCACUUGGAGCGACGUUUGGCCGUGAAUUUGUGCAACCAAGAAGUGGGAAGCUUCGAUCUGUCAGGCUCGG